UUUUGACUUGUGAAAAUUUAUGGGAUACAGAUGUAAUUUUGCUAUAUGGAUGUAUCGUAUGGUGGUGAAGUCUGGGCUUUUAGUCUUUCUAUGACCACAAUAACAUACCCUGCACCCAUUAAUUAAUUUCUCAUCUUCCGUUCCCCUUCCACUCUCUCACCUCUGAGUCUCCAGUGUCUAGCAUUGCACACUCUGCGACCAAGUGUACACAUUAUUUAGCUCCCACUUCACUUAUAAGUAAGUAGAUGUGUUAUUUGUUUUCCUGUGUCUGACUUGUUUCACUUACGAUAAUAGCGUCCAGUUCUAUCCGUGUUGCUGCAAGAUAUGAUUUCUUUUUUUUUUUUGGCCGAACAGAAUUCCAUUGUGCAUCUCGACUACAUUUUCUUUGUCUAAACAUCCACUGAUGGACACAGAUUGAUUCUUUAUCUUUGCUCUUGGGAAUAGCAAUAACAUAUGAUUGCAAUAAACAUGUGAGCUGCAAUAAACAUGAAAACCAUAGGAAAGAAGAGGAGAUGCUGUUUUCAAGUUGUUUUUUCCCGACACUGAAAUACUUGGAAAAGAAGGACGCGUUUGCUUCCCCUUCCAUCAUGAUUUUAACUCUCCUGAGGCCUCCUGAGCUCUGCAGAACUAGACUAAAACAACUUUACCAGAUUGAAACACUGAAGACAAAGGAGCCCAGGAAGCAAAAUUCAUCAGAUAACUAGAGGAAGUUUUCAUGGAGUUGCUAUGAGUUAGAAACUUUUAAUGAAUCCAGUUGUAUUGUUUACCAAGUUAAGAUCCUCUUGGAUGUCAGGAGAUAGAUGUGUAGAUGUCAGCUUAUAAAAUACAGCACUUGUGUAAUAGCAGAAAUAUAAGAGGCUGGAAUCCCUCCAUGCCAAGAGAUAAUAAAGGAGGCCUGGGAUAAGUUGGAAGAAAAACU
rnacentral:lncRNA from 13 species